AUCGGUAUCCUGUGUUGCUUACCUAUCCAAAGGAAUCCGACGGUUUCGUUGGUCCCUCUCCGCCCUAUGCCCUCGCGGGUCGUGGGGUGGACGUCGGGCAAGCCUCGUGUUCCCGGCACGCUUCGCCCAGUUGCGUGGCUGCCUCGGCCCACGAGGUGCGCUGCCCGUGCUCUCGGAUGCGGAACGUUAUGCGUGGGCGUGGGGUCUGUUGGCUCCGUUCGCCCGAGCAACGCAUUUGUCCAUCGACACGAACGACCGUCGCGCCCGUCUCGAGCCCGCGGCCGUCCGCCCGUCGGGUCUCGUGCGGGCGUCGACGUCGCGAAGGAAUGCUACCUGGUUGAUCCUGCCAGUAGUCAUAUG
rnacentral:misc_RNA from 1 species